AUCUUGUUGCAAGGCAUUAUAUAUGUGAAUUAUGCAAUGCCAUGUUGUUUAGCCAAGCGUCAUAUAUGUUAACUAGAAGGGUCACCCGCGCAUUUGCGCGGCUAGAUUAUUAUGUGUUAUAUUUCCUUUCUAAAUAUAUCUGAUUACACGGUUAACUAUCUUACAAUGUAAUUCAAAUACACAACAUAUUGACACUCAAUUGUAUGCUGGUCGAGAUAUUUUGAUAAAUAUCAUUGGGUUGAUGGUGAGUAGCAACAACAAAAGUAAAGAAAAUUUUACUAUUUGGGUCGUCAUCUCGGUGUUUAAAAUGAUGGUCUUUCAUGUUAGAUCUUUAUCUUUCAUACUUACACAUCGCGUCCUUCGUUGUCCUGGUUGGUAUACUGUUCUUAUGUUUUUUUACGAACAUUGUGCUUGUGUUUAUUGUUCGGUAUAUUGUGAUUACUUCAAAUUCAUACACACAUGUUGUUAUAAUAUGAAUUAUAAUCUUGAGCACAACCAAAAUGUCUUACUACGUAUCUAAAUGGUUUGUCGCUUGCAAUUUCUUUUUUGCUAAAACAUUCACCCACAUCACAAUCAUUAGAGUUCGUUAUUUUUGGUCGUAAUGGUCCUAUUUCACUUUAUCAUCUAUGGCAAUGUAAUUAUUAACGAUAAAGUAAGCCGGACCAAGGGGACUUAAAAAUUGCAUCACAUGGCAUCCAAAUAUCUUGCCCAUCGUCUGGGUUUAAUUAGCAUGCACUCAAAAUUAGGCUCAUAUUUUAUCGUACCAUGACAACAGCCCCUACUAUUUUGCUUCUAAAAUAAAAUGUAACUGUUGAUUAAUGUUUGUUACGAUUUUUCAAAAACAAAUCAUAUUUCAUGAACACUUGUCAUCACCGUUGUGUACCCAAAUGCACAACCAAAUUAUAUAAAUAUGUUUAUAUUGGAAAAAUUAUUUAUAUCUUAUUCCUGGCUCCAUUAUAUGCUCUAUCAGUCUGAUAUCAAAUUGUCCAGUAAUAUAACAGACCCACGACCUAGUGUUGUAAGUAUUUUCUUUUACAAAAUAUUACACUCCAGAUUAUUUGUUUUCGGUCGCUCCCCACAAGUCACAAUGGGUUAAUUGGUCAACUUCAUUUGGAAACGGAGGCUAAUUGGUCAACUUGCUUCCCGUCUCUACAUCUUCUGUUCUAAAAGGGAAAAUAGAUCCUCUUUCCCUUUCUGUGCUCUAUCGUGGUAGUCUUGGAAGUUUGGCUAUAUACCAAAUCGGUGGCAUGCCCAGCACCGAAGCUUUGGAGGAGAUGCUAGGCCAGCUCUGAGCGAGGAGGGGACGGGCGUUCAAGCCGCCCAUCUUGCGCCGCCCACCGGCGUGGUCGCAUCUUGCCGGUUUGGAUCCAGUGAGGCAGACCGGCCACCGGGGAGGCCACGGGAGAAUAUGAGCGAUAACUACUAGUUAGCUUCCUCAGUGAUCUGCUCUCCUACUCGUGGCACCAAGAGUGAGAGAUGUGUCGUCGGGCUGGACGACCAUUUUCUCUGUCGUCAUCUGAGCGGAGCAGAAUAGAGUAUGCAGGUGGAGGCAAGCUAUGGGCUUCCUCAUUGUUGGUGUUGUCGGCUUCCAGCUAUGUAAGGUGCUACGGAUUUGAAUCAUUCCUAUGUCCUACAUAGCUGCUGAUUGUCUACAGGUCUUAGAGUCUUGUUGUUCUCGAAAAGUGGUGAUAUCAUAUCUUAGAAGAAGUCUGAUGCCUUACCUAAUUUGCGUAGUUUCCAUGCGCCAUUCCAGUAAGUUCGGUAAAACAUUUGUUCUUCUGGUGUACCUUGCAUACUUUUCUAUCUAUCUCGGUCAUUUUUGGCGAAGUUUCUUCUAGUGAGUGUCUCCAUAUAUGGAGUUAGUCAAGUAUAACUAUUACUUUACAUUGGUUAAUAAAAAUGAGUCAUGCUUCAUUAGUUCAUAAAUAAUAAAAGAUAGUGUUCCAUACCUGCCAAGAAGUUUGUGAGUUGCAGAUAUAUCUAGAUCUGUAUAUACUUGCAGCAGUGGUUGACUUUGGGCACUGUCCUAUUUAACCAUGAAAAACUUUUUUAAAAGUAAUAGAAGAUGUUGUGACUUUAUUGGACUUACUGCUAAACUCCACCAUUGUUGAUGUCAUAAUAAGGAUAGUUUGGCUGUCGACUACAUUCUCAUUCAAAAGAUAAGUAGAAUUUCCCCAUAGUGUAACUCUGAUUUUAUCACUCAUGGAGAGUUUAAGCUGGAAAAGUUAAUGUUAAUGCAAUGAUGGAAGUCAAAUUAAAGUCUUUGUUAUUAUACACUUACUCUGUCAGCGUAUAUACCUAAAUAGUUCAUCGCCCAUACACCCAAUUCUCUCAACAUGCAGCCUUCCACAUCACCAAUAUGCCAAAUCAGCAUUUUUAUUUUUAUUCUUCUAUUUUCUGUGCAGACCUGUCAUCUUGAUUCCACAUGCUUCAUUUGGGCGAGUAGUCCAAAAUAGCAUGUGUAAAAUUGGUGAUUAAUUACUCCAUAGCUAGAAAGAUUAGUUAGUUGAGUCUUAUUUGGAACUAUAUAGUAUAGGUAAACCUGAGCAUUGCUUAUCUUUCCCGGCAUGUUCUUGUACAGUUUCCUUGGAAGCAAACUCGAAGUAGUAAUCAGGAAAACAUUCUGAUGAUCCUUACCUUUGUAUUUCAUUGGUCGAAUGGUGAUACUUUGUUGCUUUCACAACUUUAAAAUGGUAAAUGCAUAAACAUAAUUAUCUUUUAUCUUUGAUCAACAAUUGUGUAUCAACCUCCUCCACAUUUAUAGUAUCAUGAUCUUUUAGGGUCAUAGUAAAAUGCAUUGCUUGGCCCUGUCAAACAUUUACAAUAUAUUAGCACUUGUGGUUCAAAACAAUAGAACAAUCAGCAUGUAAAUAUAUACUCCCUCUGUUCCUAAAUAUAAUACCUUCUAGAUAUUCUAAUAUGUUCUACAUACGGAGCAAAAGGGGUGAAUCUACACUCUAAAAUAUGUCUAUAUACAUCCGUAUGUAGUCCGUAUUGAAAUAUCUAAAAGGAUUAUACUUAGAAACGGGGGGAGUAAAUAUAUAAACAUUUUCAUCCAUCGAAGCUCAUAUGCUCAUCAGUCGGAGGAUUGAUUGAAUAUAUAUUCUCGUACUUUCACUUGAGUGUCGUUUGUCCUAUCAUUGUUAAGGCACUAAGAUUCUUACACGCCAUGGUGCUUUGGCUGCAAAACCAUUUGAAAAUUGUUUGUCAAUUGAUAAUAUCUCAUAGAUUUUAUCCUCAGUAAGUGAAUUCACUAAAUAAUAUUUAGGAACCUUGAUUAUUCAGGAGAUAUAGCAACUCAGAAGGUUUGCCUGUCGUUGUGACAUCUGUCAUAGUUUUGGUUGAUUUGCGUUGCAGCGGUUGUUUCAUUGUGGCGGCAACUCAGAAGGUUUGGCUGGCGUUGAGACAUGUUCUGUCACAGUUUUGGCUGAUUUGCGUUGCAUUGUUUGUUUCAUCACGGCAUCGGCAGAUUUCUAUAUUGUAGGUGGUCUACUUGUCGGGCAGAUUUUGCUUCCUGGAUCUCUCGCAAAAAGCAGCCCUAUAUCUAUGGAGCGAACUUCUGGAUGUACUUUGUCCAUCAUGAUGCUCUUCAACACAGUCCGAUCCUACCCUGAUUGCAUCCAUUGCACUUUGGUGUGGUGUUUGCCAUGCUCUCGGAUGCCGUCCAAUCAUGCCCUUUUUGCAUCCAUCACACUUUGUCAUGGUGUUUAGUCUCACGUGGAGCAUGAUAUGGAUCGUGCCCGAUCUCACUUGUGUUGUAGUACAUGGAAAAAAGUUUUGGCUUCUUGGGCGUUGUGACGCCUCGAGACCGUUGCGCCAGGUGUCUGACAGUUGUUCGCUGUUGUUUC